CCUACGGGUGGCAGCAGUGGGGAAUAUUGGGCAAUGGGCGCAAGCCUGACCCAGCAAUGCCGCGUGAAGGAAGAAGGCUUUCGGGUUGUAAACUCCUUUGACAGGGGAAGAGCAGAAAACGGUACCCUGAAAACAAGCCACGGCUAACUACGUGCCAGCAGCCGCGGUAAUACGUGGGUGGCAAGCGUUGUCCGGAUUUACGGGGUGUAAAGGGCGGGUAGCCGGGAAGGCAAGUCAGAUGUGAAAGCUGGAGCCUGAACCUCCGAAUUGCAUUUGAAACUGUUUGUCUUGAGUACGGGAGAGGCAGGCGGAAGUCGUGGUGUAGCGGUGAAAUGCGUAGAUAUAAGGAGGAACACCAGUGGCGAAGGCGGUCUGCUGGACAGCGACUGACGGUGAGGCGCGAAAGCGUGGGGAGCAAACAGGAUUAGAUACCCUUGUAGUC
rnacentral:rRNA from 1 species